UGGGGAAUUUUGGACAAUGGGCGAAAGCCUGAUCCAGCAAUGCCGCGUGUGUGAAGAAGGCCUUCGGGUUGUAAAGCACUUUUGUCCGGAAAGAAAUGGCUCUGGUUAAUACCUGGGGUCGAUGACGGUACCGGAAGAAUAAGGACCGGCUAACUACGUGCCAGCAGCCGCGGUAAUACGUAGGGUCCAAGCGUUAAUCGGAAUUACUGGGCGUAAAGCGUGCGCAGGCGGUUGUGCAAGACCGAUGUGAAAUCCCCGAGCUUAACUUGGGAAUUGCAUUGGUGACUGCACGGCUAGAGUGUGUCAGAGGGGGGUAGAAUUCCACGUGUAGCAGUGAAAUGCGUAGAGAUGUGGAGGAAUACCGAUGGCGAAGGCAGCCCCCUGGGAUAACACUGACGCUCAUGCACGAAAGCGUGGGGAGCAAACAGGAUUAGAUACCCUGGUAGUCCACGCCCUAAACGAUGUCAACUAGUUGUUGGGGAUUCAUUUCCUUAGUAACGUAGCUAACGCGUGAAGUUGACCGCCUGGGGAGUACGGUCGCAAGAUUAAAAGCUUAAA
rnacentral:rRNA from 1 species